AUUGAACGCUGGCGGCAGGCCUAACACAUGCAAGUCGAGCGAGCGGCGGACGGGUGAGUAAUGUAUGGGGACUGCCCGAUAGAGGGGGAUAACUACUGGAUACGGUAGCUAAUACCGCAUACUAUCAGAUUACCCACAUGGGAUUAGCUAGUGGGUGGGGUAAUGGCUCACCUAGGCGACGAUCCCGAGCUGGUCUGAGAGGAUGAUCAGCCACACUGGAACUGAGACACGGCCCAGACGCCUACGGAGGCAGCAGUGGGGAAUAUUGCACAAUGGGCGCAAGCCUGAUGCAGCCAUGCCGCGUGUAUGAAGAAGGCCCUAGGGUUGUAAAGUACUUUCAGUCGGGAGGCGUUACCGGCAGAAGAAGCACCGGCUAACUCCGUGCCAGCAGCCGCGGUAAUAC
rnacentral:rRNA from 1 species